CAGCAGCCACGGGAAUACGUAGGUGGCAAGCGUUGUCCGGAAUUAUUGGGCGUAAAGGGCUCGCAGGCGGUUUCUUAAGUCUGAUGUGAAAGCCCCCGGCUCAACCGGGGAGGGUCAUUGGAAACUGGGAAACUUGAGUGCAGAAGAGGAGAGUGGAAUUCCAUGUGUAGCGGUGAAGUGCGUAGAUAUAUGGAGGAACACCGGUGGCGAAAGCGGCUCUCUGGCUUGUAACUGUCGCUGAGGCCCGAAAGCGUGGGGAGCAAGCAGGAUUAGAUACCCGAGUAGUCCCUGUCUCUUAUAC
rnacentral:rRNA from 1 species